rnacentral:lncRNA from 1 species
CUUACCAUCACCGGAAAAAGACUCAGCUUCGUUUCUCUUGUUUUUCCUCAUUUUUUCUCUUGUGAGAUUAUCUGAUAUUUGUUGUAGAUAAGGUUUAUAAGUUCCUAGUUGUGCGGUUGUUUCUCAUGAUGUUGUACGCUGUUUUGGUCAAUAUUAAUCCUCUUCUUCCUUAUAUUUGGCUAAUUUUAGGAACUACAUCUCCUUGGGUUGGGUCAGACUUUAGUUGUAUUUUAUGUUGUCUUCCUCGUAGUUGGCUUGCCGUUGAAAGUCUCUGCUCGUCUUGGUUUUCAAAAUCUCGUUUUUGGUGAUCUGAUUUUUAUGUUCUCUUCAUAAUUCGAGGCUGGCUCCACAGUUUGCUGAUUUUGUCCAGUCUCUUUUUCUCUUUUUGUUCUUCAUCUUGUUGCACUUUUCAUUGCUGGUUGCGUCUCUGGUGGCUCUCCAUUUCGCCAUGUUUGCCACUCCAGGUUUGAAUAGUAUUUUCAUUUGUGUAUGUUUUGUGGGCUUGGAAGAUUUCUUGUCUCAACCUUGAGCUUUGGUUUCUCUGUGGUUAGCUUCCAUUCUUCCUCCUUUAGGUUGUAUUUCUUCUUCUUAUACUUCCCUUGGUAUAUGUGCGUGGAGUUAAUCUCUUGGAGCUUUCGUCUCUUCUAUUCAGAGCUUUGUGGUUCUUCAUUGGCUUGGCGCCUUGUGUGUGGUUGUUUUGUUUGUGAGGUGCUUCUUAUCUCUUAACUAGUGGUUGUGCUUUAGGCAUGUGUUUUCCUGCUUCGUGGUAACUUUGGUCUUCCGGUGAUUAUUCUUCCUCUGAUCCGCUUUUUUGGUUUUUUGGAGUUGUCUUUGAUCGCGUUCAUU